GAGCCGCUAGCUCAGACGGUAGAGCAUCAGACUUUUAAUCUGAGGGCCAUGGGUUCGAAUCCCAUGCGGCUCA
rnacentral:tRNA from 2 species